rnacentral:rRNA from 1 species
AGAGUUUGAUCAUGGCUCAGAUUGAACGCUGGCGGCAGGCCUAACACAUGCAAGUCGAACGGUAACAUUUCUAGCUUGCUAGAAGAUGACAAGUGGCGGACGGGUGAGUAAUGCUUGGGAACUUGCCUUUGCGAGGGGGAUAACCGUUGGAAACCACUGCUAAUACCGCAUAACGUCUACGGACCAAACGGGGCUUAGGCUCCGGCGCCAAGAGAGGCCCCAGUGAGAUUAGCUACUUGGUAAGGUUAAGGCUUACCAAGGCAACGAUCUCUAGCUGUUCUGAGAGGAAGAUCUUCCACACUGGAACUGAGACACCGUCC